GUUGAAGGGUCACACGGACGUAAUUCUUGCCAAUCCGGUCAGGUCCGAAAGGAAGCAGCCGUAACAAUGAUAGCGGGUUGUGCGGCCCUUCAUAUUU
rnacentral:SRP_RNA from 1 species